GACGAACGCUGGCGGCGUGCUUAACACAUGCAAGUCGAACGGAAAGGCCCUGCUUUUGUGGGGUGCUCGAGUGGCGAACGGGUGAGUAACACGUGAGUAACCUGCCCUUGACUUUGGGAUAACUUCAGGAAACUGGGGCUAAUACCGGAUAGGAGCUCCUGCUGCAUGGUGGGGGUUGGAAAGUUUCGGCGGUUGGGGAUGGACUCGCGGCUUAUCAGCUUGUUGGGGGGGUAGUGGCUUACCAAGGCUUUGACGGGUAGCCGGCCUGAGAGGGUGACCGGCCACAUUGGGACUGAGAUACGGCCCAGACUCCUACGGGAGGCAGCAGUGGGGAAUAUUGCCCAAUGGGCGGAAGCCUGAUGCAGCAACGCCGCGUGCGGGAUGACGGCCUUCGGGUUGUAAACCGCUUUCGCCUGUGACGAAGCGUGAGUGACGGUAAUGGGUAAAGAAGCACCGGCUCACUACGUG
rnacentral:rRNA from 1 species